AACGAACGCUGGCGGCAUGCCUAACACAUGCAAGUCGAACGAGACCUUCGGGUCUAGUGGCGCACGGGUGCGUAACGCGUGGGAACCUGCCCUUAGGUUCGGAAUAACUCCCCGAAAGGGGUGCUAAUACCGGAUAAUGUCUUCGGACCAAAGAUUUAUCGCCUUUGGAUGGGCCCGCGUUGGAUUAGCUAGUUGGUAGGGUAAAAGCCUACCAAGGCGACGAUCCAUAGCUGGUCUGAGAGGAUGAUCAGCCACACUGGGACUGAGACACGGCCCAGACUCCUGGGGGAGGAAGCGGGGGGAAAUAUUGAAAAGGGGGCGAAGGCCUGACCCAGCAUGGCCGGGGGAGGAAGGAGGCCUUGAGGGUUGAAAAGUUUUUUUCCCGGGGAGAAAAAUGACAGUCGGGGAAAAAAAAGCCCGGCCAACCCCCGUC
rnacentral:rRNA from 1 species